rnacentral:rRNA from 1 species
UACGAAGGGGGCUAGCGUUGUUCGGAAUUACUGGGCGUAAAGCGCGCGCAGGCGGUCUUCCAAGUCAGUGGUGAAAGCCCGGAGCUCAACUCCGGAAUUGCCAUUGAAACUGUUAGACUUGAGGAUGAGAGAGGUGAGUGGAAUUCCCAGUGUAGAGGUGAAAUUCGUAGAUAUUCGGAAGAACACCAGUGGCGAAGGCGGCUCACUGGCCCGUUACCGACGCUCAGGCGCGACAGCGUGGGGAGCAAACAGG